CCGUAAAUGCUAGAUAUGGUGGAAGUGCCCACGAUAGUUUUGUAUGGCGACAAAGUGAAGAGAGAGCGACAUUGGAAAGAAAUUAUUUAUCAGAAGGGAGAUCAUCAUGGCUGCUAGGAGACAGUGGCUAUCCCCUGGAGCCUUUCCUACUGACUCCUUAUAGAAAUGCCAGUAAGGAUUCUCGUGAACUCAACUUCAACUUUAUUCAUUCUCAGGCAAGAAGUAUCGUAGAACGAUGCAUCGGUCGCUUAAAAAGUCGAUGGCGUAUAAUUUUGGAAGAAAGAAAGUUAAG